AAUAUAAUGAAAUAAACCCUUUGUAUAUGUUCAAGAAUAGGGCUUGAACGUUUCUACCAGGCUGCCGUAAAUAGACUGACUACAAAGGAUUGCAGACAAGCU
rnacentral:ncRNA from 1 species